AAGCUUGCUUCCACUGAGAAGAUAGUGGCGAACGGGUGAGUAACACGUGGGGUAACCUGCCCAUAAGAGGGGGAUAACAUCCGGAAACGGGUGCUAAUACCGCAUAGUUUUCUUGAUCGCAUGAUUGAGAAAGGAAAGACGGCCUUUGUGCUGUCGGCUUAUGGAUGGACCCGCGGCGUAUUAGUUAGUUGGUGAGGUAACGGCUCACCAAGACGAUGAUACGUAGCCGACCUGUGAGGGUGAUCGGCCACAUUGGGACUGAGACACGGCCCAAACUCCUACGGGAGGCAGCAGUAGGGAAUCUUCCGCAAUGGACGAAAGUCUGACGGAAGCAACGCCGCGUGAGUGAUGACGGCCUUCGGGUUGUAAAGCUCUGUCUUCAGGGACGAUAAUGACGGUACCUGAGGAGGAAGCCACGGCUAACUACGUGCCAGCCGCUGC
rnacentral:rRNA from 1 species